rnacentral:rRNA from 1 species
CGCGUAGGCGGCUGGGUAAGUCGAUUGUGAAAUCCCCGGGCUCAACCUGGGAAUUGCAGUCGAGACUGCUCGGCUAGAGUGUGGGAGAGGGUGGUGGAAUUCCCGGUGUAGCGGUGAAAUGCGUAGAUAUCGGGAGGAACAUCAGUGGCGAAGGCGACCACCUGGCCCAACACUGACGCUGAGGUGCGAAAGCGUGGGUAGCAAACAGGAUUAGAUACCCUGGUAGUCCACGCCGUAAACGAUGUCGACUAGCCGUUGGAGACCUUAGAGUCUUUAGUGGCGCAGCUAACGCACUAAGUCGACCGCCUGGGGAGUACGGCCGCAAGGUUAAA